UCCGGUUUGUCACCGGCAGUCUCCUUUGAGUUCCGUUCUUUCGAACAUGGCGACAAAGGACAAGGGUUGCGCUCGUUACGGGACUUAACCCGACACUUCACAGCACGAGCUGACGACAGCCAUGCAGCACCUGUGACUGUUCCACCCUUGCGGGCGUGGCUCCUGUUUCCAGGAGUUAAUCCAGCCAUGUCAAACCCAGGUAAGGUUCUUCGCGUUGCCUCGAAUUAAGCAACAUGCUCCACCGCUUGUGUGAGCCCCCGUCAAUUCCUUUGAGUUUUAGCCUUGCGACCGUACUCCCCAGGCGGUACGCUUAUUGUUUUUACUUCGACCGAGCCGGCGUCAGAGCCGCCCCGAUCUAGCGUACAUCGUUUACGGCGUGGACUAC
rnacentral:misc_RNA from 1 species